rnacentral:rRNA from 1 species
UAUUGGUCAAUGGGCUUACGCCUGAACCAGCCAAGUCGCGUGAGGGAAGACUGCCCUAUGUUGUGUAAACCUCUUUUGUCAGGGAGCAAUUGGCGCUACGUGUAGCGUUAUCGAGAGUACCUGAAGAAAAAGCAUCGGCUAACUCCGUGCCAGCAGCCGCGGUAAUACGGAGGAUGCGAGCGUUAUCCGGAUUUAUUGGGUUUAAAGGGUGCGCAGGCGGAAUGUCAAGUCAGCGGUAAAAUUUCGGGGCUCAACCCCGUCGUGCCGUUGAAACUGGCGUUCUUGAGUGAGCGAGAAGUAUGCGGAAUGCGUGGUGUAGCGGUGAAAUGCAUAGAUAUCACGCAGAACUCCGAUUGCGAAGGCAGCAUACCGGCGCUCAACUGACGCUCAUGCACGAAAGCGUGGGUAUCG